rnacentral:rRNA from 1 species
GACGAACGCUGGCGGCGUGCUUAACACAUGCAAGUCGAACGGAAAGGCCCUGCUUUUGUGGGGUGCUCGAGUGGCGAACGGGUGAGUAACACGUGAGUAACCUGCCCUUGACUUUGGGAUAACUUCAGGAAACUGGGGCUAAUACCGGAUAGGAGCUCCUGCUGCAUGGUGGGGGUUGGAAAGUUUCGGCGGUUGGGGAUGGACUCGCGGCUUAUCAGCUUGUUGGUGGGGUAGUGGCUUACCAAGGCUUUGACGGGUAGCCGGCCUGAGAGGGUGGCCGGCCACAUUGGGACUGAGAUACGGCCCAGACUGCUACGGGAGGCAGCAGUGGGGAAUAUUGCACAAUGGGCGGAAGCCUGAUGCAGCAACGCCGCGUGCGGGAUGACGGCCUUCGGGUUGUAAACCGCUUUCGCCUGUGACGAAGCGUGAGUGACGGUAAUGGGUAAAGAAGCAACGGCUAACUACGUG